rnacentral:tRNA from 1 species
CCCGGCUUAACUCAGACUGGCUAGAGUGGCGGACUGUAGAUCCGUAUGUCCCCGGUUCAAAUCCGGGAGCCGGGA